UACGGAGGAUCCGAGCGUUAUCCGGAUUUAUUGGGUUUAAAGGGUGCGUAGGCGGGAAAUUAAGUCAGUGGUGAAAGUUUGCAGCUCAACUGUAAAAUUGCCAUUGAAACUGAUUUUCUUGAGUGUAAAUAAGGUAGGCGGAAUGUGUUGUGUAGCGGUGAAAUGCAUAGAUAUAACACAGAACCCCGAUUGCGAAGGCAGCUUACCGGGCUACAACUGACGCUGAGGCACGAAAGCGUGGGGAUCAAACAGGAUUAGAUACCCUGGUAGUCCACGCAGUAAACGAUGAAUACUAACUGUUUGCGAUAUACAGUAAGCGGUACAGCGAAAGCGUUAAGUAUUCCACCUGGGGAGUACGUUCGCAAGAAUGAA
rnacentral:rRNA from 1 species